rnacentral:lncRNA from 1 species
GUUCCUGCUCCGGCUCCUGCGGGGAUGGAUGCUUCACGCAGUAAGCGAGUAAGCGAGCCCUGGAGACCGGGGCCCUGGGUGUGCGGUCGGCUCAGUGCCACGCGGUGAGAUAGGCAUGGUUAUCAACCCACGCCAAGGCGGUUGUGUACCUGGCAUAGAAAACACUGCUGUUGAAUGUUGUUUCCAUAGUCAUUCGCCAGCGUCCACUGAUGAGAGGUGCCACCACGGACACCCGGCCUUGCUCCGUCGAAGCUUUGGUCCAUUAGGACCAAAGUCAGGCCCCAGCGGGCCUCCCUGCCAUUCCUGGACGGCCUCGCGUCCUCCCAGAGCCUGACCUUCUCUUAUCUCUGCAGCCUAAGUCGCGGAAGCGUAGACACCCGGCUUUUCCCGCGUGCUCUAUCGGGCUCCCCUGGACACGGAGGGUGGAGCAGAAAGAGCAGAGGGGCCGGUGGGAGCCAUGGGGAGUCCGCCUAGCUCCAGAGGACACCUUACCUGGAUCCGCCUUUGUAGCCUCCUCCUGGCUCUGGGGGCUGUCCUGUGGGGUCCGAGUAGCUGAAAGACAGCCCCUCCAUGUGAGGAAGCCCCCAACUGGGGAAAACCCCCUCGUGGACUCAUUCCUGUCCCUGCAUGUGGCCUUCACCUGACUGUCUGCAUUGAGGCAUCCUCUGCCAAGAGCAAUUUCAAAGUGGCAGGAAAGUGCUGCUUUCAACAUCUGCCACAUUUGCAAGAAGAGCAAAGGUGGCCCAUUUGAGACCACCCUUGAACUAAACCAUCCAGUGAGCCCCUGAG